UAUUGUUUCACAAAAUUGAUGCUGAUUGAAUGUAACACAAAUGAUGUUUUUCAGUAAAGAAAUGGGUGGUUCCAAAUCAAAAGAACUUGAUGAACCAUGGAGGGAAAUACAAUGGGGCAAUCAGGAGAAAGAAAAACUUAUGAAAGAAAUAAGGACCUUAACACCAAGAUACACAGAAGCAAAAGAAUUAAGAAUCAUGAUGGCUGGACAGAUCUUUGCUGGAACGUCCAGUUACAUCAAUACAAUUGAUUCUGCGUUACAAGGUCAUUUGUCAAGCCGGGCUUUGGCAUGUGUAGAUGAACACCGUGUUACCAAGA